AUUGAACGCUGGCGGCAGGCUUAACACAUGCAAGUCGAGCGAGCGGCGGACGGGUGAGUAAUGUCUGAGAAACUGGCUGAUGGAGGGGGAUAACUACUGGAAAAGGUCGCUAAUACCGCAUACCGUCAGUUGGGCCCAGAGGGGAUUGGGUAGUGGGUGGGGUAAUGGCUCACCAAGGCGACGAUCCCUAGCUGGUCUGAGAGGAUGACCGGCCACACUGGAACUGAGACACUGUCCAGACUCCGACGGGAGGCAGCAGUGGGGAAUAUUGCACAAUGGGCGCAAGCCUGAUGCAGCCAUGCCGCGUGUGUGAAGAAGGCCUUCGGGUUGUAAAGCACUUUCAGCGAGGAGGCGUUACUCGCAGAAGAAGCACCGGCUAACUCCGUGCCAGCCGCCGCGGUAAUUC
rnacentral:rRNA from 1 species